UUGGAACCGUCUGUAUGCUUGUAUUUUCUGUCCAGCCUUUUUUUGGUUGGUUUUUCUUUUCCCCAUACCUUAUUUGAAAGUAAUUCUCCUUAAGUAAGUUUUUUUGUUUGUUUUUUUGAGGUUUUUGAGGAAGAUGAGCCCUGAUCUAACUACUGCCAAUCCUCCUCUUUUUGCUGAGGAAGACUGGCCCUGAGCUAACAUCCAUGCCCAUCUUCCUCUACUUUAUACGUGGGAUGCCUACCACAGCGUGGCUUUUGCCAAGCAGUGCCAUGUCUGCACCCGGGAUCUGAACUGGCGAACCCCGGGCCGCCGAGAAGCGUAACAUGCGCACUUCAGUUCUGCACCACCGGGCCUCCCCUUAAAAGAUUCUUGGGGCCUUGUUUUCUACAAUCAAGAGCAGCUGUAAGAUUCUUUAGAAGUAAUUUUUUUCACACGGGCCAUACAGCUCUCCCAUUGUCUCCUGGAAAUCUCCGUGAGUAGAGAGUUGACUUGCUCCAGCUCCGUUCCAUUAGGAAGGAAGGUUAGAGGAAAACCUCAGGAUGACUGCCCGCGGGAGAAGGAGAGAUCAGAAAAAAGAACCUGAAACUCUGCAGGAACAAUCAGGGACCUUGGACAAAAAUGCUUCUGGGUGGCCAAGGAUGUGACAAUUUUCCUUAACUCACCUAGGAGGCAUUCAAAAGAAAUUUGUAGACUUUAUAAAAGAGAUUCAGGAAAUAUAUACUUUAUCCUAAAAGAACAAAUUUGUUAAAAUACUGUGUUAUUCUGAUAUGAAGAGGUAUUAAGAAAAGCUAUCUUAACAUGACUGUUUACAUAACUAAAUCUCAAACAAGUUUGCAUCAAAGUGCCAGAAGAUAUGUUAUAUAUUUGUAUUACAUAUAUAACAAAUAAAGUCACACGUCCCUUAACGACGAGGAUACGUUCUGAGAAAUGUGUUGUUAGGCGAUUUCGUCAUUGUGUGAACAUCACAGAGUGCACUUACACAAACCUGGAUGGGAGAGCCUACUACACACUUAGGCUUCAUAGUACUAAUCUUAUGGGACCACAGUGUACGCAGGCCAUCAUUGACGAAAUCAUCCUUAUGCGGCACAUGACUAUAAGUACUUCUGAUUAAACUAAAUGAAAUGCGUAAAGGAUAUGUAACAUUUUAUACAAUGAUGCUGG
rnacentral:lncRNA from 1 species